rnacentral:misc_RNA from 1 species
UGUUUCAUGAAAGCAAUAUAAAAUUUUUCAAAUUUCAUGGGAAGUAGCAACUUAGUUGUAUGCUACAUGGAAGCAUGCAAAACCUAUUGAAAAAAGGUUACUGGCCUUGACGUGCGCCUUUUUUCGUGGUCUUGAUUUCACCAGAAGCCCUACUUUGUUGAAAUUCCAAUGCCGUGUUGUAGUUAAACAACAUUGUUCUCUGUAAAUAUCUUGCGCAGAAGGAUGGGCUCCAGAGCCGGAAGCUUGUAUCCUGUUAAAAAUAUUUACAUUAUCUUAAUUUCAUCACUUUGGUUUCUGCAAAAAAUACGACAAAUUUCUUAUCCCUUCUCACCUCUGACCUCUCCCAAAACUCCUCAGAAGCCAAAUAAAAACAAUAGUCAAAGAUAUGUGAGAGGUAAGCAUUCAAAAUAUUUUCUAUAUCUCAAGGCACGCAAGGAAAUGAUCUCAUUGUAUGCAUAAAACAUGAUACAUCAUUAGGCAAUACAAAAAACUUUAAGCAAUCUAAUCAUGAAUGAGUUGCAAACUUCUGUACAGUGUGAUAGCUAUUAGCUACCACGAUCAUCUCAAUACUCACUCCUGUUUGCUAGCCACUUAAAAAAUGUAGGCAACUAAGCAGCAAUAGCAUAGUCAUAAGCACUUGAAUAAACUGUCGUCGCAUUUGAUGCUACAGAAGUCCUAAAUUAACUAGCAGCUUCUGUAUUGUUUUUCGACCCCAUUGAGUGUCAUUUUGCGGAACAACAUUUUCAAUGGACUCUGAUUCUUUCUGCUUUCCGUCAUCAGCUACUGGCUUUUGUUCGAAUUCAUUGUGAAGCUGCUCCUGAUCACUGAACACCUCAACUGCUUCUUCUUGACUUGGAUCGCCAACAAUUUCAUGCUUCUCAUCUGACUGAUUAUUAUUAGAACUCGGUUAAUAGAUAAGAAGACUAACGAAAGUGAGAGGAAUAGAGAGGGACGUUGCGCACCAUUGCUAAUCGUGACGUGGUAAAUUACUAUGGUCACACGUUAUAUGUUUUUCUAACAGAUAAUCUGGAUUUAAUGGAAAAUUUUCUAAUCUAGUAGGUUACAGUGGUAAUCUUUAAUUGUAUAGUGGGACAAGGUGGAAAGGAUACCAAACCAAUCCCAUCUCUUAGUGGAAGUUGAGGCAAUGGUAUGUAUAAUCGCAAGUGCACAAGUUCUUUGAUUGCUGACCAUAAGUGAAUAUGAACCUAUGAUCUUCUAAAGCUCCAAGAGUGGUCUUUUUAUUUAUUUCUUAUCGGAAAUAGUUCAUAUUCUAUAAAACAUCAAUUUCAAAAGGAUACAAACUAAAGCU